UGCAAGUCUCAAGUUUAUUUCCAGAAAAAGGAAUUUGAGAGACACUGAAGUAAAUGCUUUACAAUUUUGCUGUAGAAAGAGCCAAAAAAAGGGAAUAUUUGGACACAGAGGCAUGCCAGGGAGAUGCUAUGUGGCGAAUGGAGUUAUGCUGCCGCAAGCUAGGAAACUACCAGAAACCAGAAGAGACCUGGAACAGAUCCUUCCCUACAGCUGUCAGAGGGGGAAUGGCCCUGUCAACAACUUGAACUCAGACGUCCAGGCUCCAGAACUGUGAGACAAUAAAUUUCUGUUGUUCCAGUCA